CUACGGGGGAAAAAUUUAUUGCUAUUAGAUGAGCCUAUGUUAGAUUAGCUAGUUGGUGGAGUAAUAGCCUACCAAGGCAAUGAUCUAUAGCUGAUCUGAGAGGAUGAUCAGCCACACUGGAACUGAGAUACGGUCCAGACUCCUACGGGAGGCAGCAGUGGGGAAUAUUGGACAAUGGGCGAAAGCCUGAUCCAGCCAUGCCGCAUGAGUGAAGAAGGCCUUUGGGUUGUAAAGCUCUUUUAGUGAGGAAGAUAAUGACGGUACUCACAGAAGAAGUCCUGGCUAACUCCGUGCCAGCAGCCGCGGUAAUACGGAGAGGGCUAGCGUUAUUCGGAAUUAUUGGGCGUAAAGGGCGCGUAGGCUGAUUAAUAAGUUAAAAGUGAAAUCUCGAGGCUUAACCUUGGAAUUGCUUUUAAAACUAUUAAUCUAGAGAUUGAAAGAGGAUAGAGGAAUUCCUGAUGUAGAGGUAAAAUUCGUAAAUAUUAGGAGGAACACCAGUGGCGAAGGCGUCUAUCUGGUUCAAAUCUGACGCUGAAGCGCGAAGGCGUGGGGAGCAAACAGGAUUAGAUACCCUGGUAGUCCACGCUGUAAACGAUGAAUGUUAAAUAUGGGAAGUUUACUUUCUGUAUUACAGCUAACGCGUUAAACAUUCCGCCUGGGGACUACGGUCGCAAGAUUAAAACUCAAAGGAAUUGACGGGGACCCGCACAAGCGGUGGAGCAUGUGGUUUAAUUCGAUGCAACGCGAAAAACCUUACCACUUCUUGACAUGAAA
rnacentral:rRNA from 1 species